rnacentral:misc_RNA from 1 species
GAUGAAGAACGUAGCAAAAUGCGAUAAGUAAUGUGAAUUGCAGAAUUCAGUGAAUCAUCGAAUCUUUGAACGCACAUUGCGCCCGCCAGUAUUCUGGCGGGCAUGCCUGUUCGAGCGUCAUUUCAACCCUCAAGCCCUCGGGUUUGGUGUUGGGGAUCGGCGAGCCUUUCUGGCAAGCCGGCCCCGAAAUCUAGUGGCGGUCUCGCUGCAGCCUCCAUUGCGUAGUAGUAAAACCCUCGCAACUGGAACGCGGCGCGGCCAAGCCGUUAAACCCCCAACUUCUGAAUGUUGACCUCGGAUCAGGUAGGAAUACCCGCUGAACUUAAGCAUAUCAAUAAGCGGAGA